ACACCGGCCGCGUCUUCCAGGGCGCGCGGGCAUCGCGCAGCGAGCGGUCGUGGGGCAGCGCGGCAAAGGCCGAAUGGCGCAGCUGGCAACCGAUGAAGAGGACGACGAGCGCCACCGAGAGCAGCAGCAGGAAGAAGAGCAGCAGAGAUGUGAUCUCGCCCUGUCGCCCAAGCUGGAGAGCAAAGCCUCAGCACAAUGGAAACAGCUCACCUCUGAGCUGGUGCUUGGGGACAUUAGGCUCGGAAGUCCCAGGACACAGCAAAAACAUCUGUGUUCUUUGAAGGAAAAAUAUCAUGAGAAGACACCCCGAUGGCCUUUGCUGAAGCACAGAAUACACAUUCUGUUCAUGCUGGUGGUGACAGACAGUGAUAAUGCUGCAAGCAUCUUUAUGUAAUGAUGAGUCUACAAGGCAGCCUCGGCUCUCAGAUCGAAUCUUCACUUUCACCAGGACUCAACUGGCCUGGGGGCAGCUAAUAGAUUUCUGCAGGUUAGUAAGGCACCAAUAGCUCUAUUUUGCUGGAGUGCCCAUUCUGUGAUUGAUUGGAGUUGAGCGUGAUACCCCGGGGCUGUGUUCUGUUCUAUCACUGAGAUGAUCCAAAGUCACUUCCUCUCUCUCAGUGACUGACCCUGCUCAGGUCUGGGGCAGUCACUGCUCCCCGCUGGCAUCAGUGGUCUGGAAACCCUAUGAGUCAGUUGUACAGCUACUGGGGCUCAUGCUGCUCUCAAUGAUCUAUGCUCACGGAAAGCAGCACAAGUCCCCAAGACCAAUAUCAAGUCGUAUUUAUGUAACUUGAAGAAUCCACUUCACCAUCCUCUACCUACAGAAUAAGGCUCUAUAUUUCCUAUUUAUAGCAGCAUCCUCACCAGCCAGAAGCU
rnacentral:lncRNA from 1 species